GUCUGAUUGACUUUGGGUUGUUUUGAUCCAGUUUUAAUGGUAUGAGAAUCUAAUCUGACCUAAAGAUUUUUUUUCUACAGUAGAAUUACAAAUGAGCCAAACUGGUAAGAUUAUUAAUUGUAGAGAAGUAUUGAAAAUGAAAAGUCUCAAAAGCAUGUAUCCAUGUAUCCACUGUAUAUACUGCAUUUUCUCAGUGGCAGGACAUUUAUUUAUCUCAACUGCAGAAAGCAACAGCACUAUAUCUGAGCCAGGCUUGCAUCAGAGACAGGGUUUUCUUUCUAAGUCCUUCUGUUUGACAAGAGCAAGUGGUCAUGAUCGUGUAACAAAGGCUUGUUUCGAUUUGCUUCGAUUUGCUCCUCUUCAGUUGGUGCCUUAUGCUGAUUAUACCAUAGCAAGCGAUGACUCACUCAUUAGACAGCUGAAUCAGAUCACUCGAAUACGACCACAAAAUUGCUUUAAUUUCCAUACGUCUAAAAAUAUAUUAUACUCUGGUUUACAUAUGUUUUGAUUUCUCGUGAAUUAAUUACAAAUUUGAUCGUUGUUGAGGAGUUUGUUUUUAAGGGUUAUUAUUUAUUUUCUGUUUUUUUUAAUGAAUUUAUAUUUUUUAUCAGUAACAUGAUCAUUAUCAUUCUAUCUCUGUCUGUUAUUUUCUUACCAGCACAUUCAUUUUGUGGUUUGUAAAAUGGAAGAUAACCAGGAAUACAUUUUAAUCACAAUUACCCAGACCUCAAAGAGACAUUUUCAGUUGUCCUCAUUUACCUGACUAAUACUCCAAGUCCAAAAUAAUUUCUGUAACUUUAGUCCAGUUUUUGUCAUUUUAAGUCGUGUUUUUGUUCAUAAGUUUAAAAAGUAAAGAAUGACUCUAUCUUGCUGCUAAGUAAAGAAGACAAUAUUUCACAAAGCAACACAUUUCUUCUUAAUACUGAACAUGAAUAAUUUCCACUACUCUGAACAUGACAUUAAAAGGGGAAAGAGCAUAUUAUUAACAGUCAUGUACAUCUACAAAAACUGGAGUAAAUACAAUUUGAAGCCAAACCAUGGAGAAAAUGAUGGUACCAGUGGAGUAUCAGUAGAAUAGAAUAGCAUAGAACAGAAUAGAAUAGCCCCAUGUCAUUGUAGAGGUACAUACAAUUUGAAAAGUGCUUGGAAGUAGUGCAAAGACAAGACUUGAUCUGAAUAGAGUCUGUGUGUGAGUGACCUGAAUGAUGGGGGUU
ensembl:lncRNA